rnacentral:rRNA from 1 species
GACGUAGGGCGCGAGCGUUGUCCGGAUUUAUUGGGCGUAAAGAGCUCGUAGGCGGCUUGUUGCGUCGACCGUGAAAACCCGGGGCUCAACUUCGGGCUUGCGGUCGAUACGGGCGGGCUAGAGUUCGGUAGGGGAGACUGGAAUUCCUGGUGUAGCGGUGAAAUGCGUAGAUAUUGGGAGGAACACCAGUGGCGAAGGCGGCUACCUGGACCGGUUCUGACGCUGAUGCGCGAAAGCGUGGGUAGCAAACAGG